AGAAUCAACGCUGGCGGCGUGCCUCAGACAUGCAAGUCGAACGCGAAAGUCUCCUUCGGGGGGCAAGUAGAGUGGCGCACGGGUGAGUAACACGUAGGUAAUCUACCUUUGGAUGGGGAAUAACAACCGGAAACGGUUGCUAAUACCGCAUAAUGCAGCGGCAUUUAAUGGUGACAGUUGUUAAAGCGGGGGAUCGAAAGACCUCGCGUCUAAAGAGGAGCCUGCGGCGGAUUAGCUAGUUGGUAAGGUAACGGCUUACCAAGGCGACGAUCCGUA
rnacentral:rRNA from 1 species